rnacentral:rRNA from 1 species
GGGUGAGUAACGCGUGGGUAACCUGCCUUGUACAGGGGGACAACAGUUGGGAACGACUGCUAAUACCGCAUAAGCGCACAACUUCGCAUGAAGCAGUGUGAAAAGUUAUUUCGGUACAAGAUGGACCCGCGUCUGAUUAGCUAGUUGGUGAGGUAACGGCCCACCAAGGCGACGAUCAGUAGCCGACCUGAGAGGGUGACCGGCCACAUUGGGACUGAGACACGGCCCAAACUCCUACGGGAGGCAGCAGUGGGGAAUAUUGCACAAUGGGCGCAAGCCUGAUGCAGCGACGCCGCGUGAGCGAAGAAGUAUUUCGGUAUGUAAAGCUCUAUCAGCAGGGAAGAUAAUGACGGUACCUGACUAAGAAGCGCUGGCUAAAUACGUGCCAGCAGCCGCGGUAAUACGUAUGGUGCAAGCGUUAUCCGGAUUUACUGGGUGUAAAGGGAGCGUAGGCGGUUUUACAAGUCUGAUGUGAAAGCCCGGGGCUCAACUCCGGUAUUGCAUUGGAAACUGUAGAACUAGAGUGUCGGAGGGGUAAGUGGAAUUCCUAGUGUAGCGGUGAAAUGCGUAGAUAUUAGGAGGAACACCAGUGGCGAAGGCGGCUUACUGGACGAUUACUG